rnacentral:rRNA from 1 species
GACGAACCUUGCUAACGUUAUUCGGAAUUACUGGGCUUAAAGGGUGCGUAGGCGGUGCAGUAAGUCGGGUGUGAAAUCCCUCGGCUCAACUGAGGAAUUGCGCCCGAAACUACUGUGCUUGAGGAAGAUAGAGGUACGCGGAACUUAGGGUGGAGCGGUGAAAUGCGUAGAUAUCGAGAGGAACACCUGCGGCGAAGGCGGGUUGCUGGGCUGACACUGACGCUGAGGCGCGAAAGCCAGGGGAGCGAACGGG